rnacentral:lncRNA from 1 species
GUCUCAGGUCAUCCAGCUGUUAAGUUAGUAUAAUAAAUCACUGAAUGGUUAUGGUUAUAAAUAUAUGAAACAAAAACAAACCUAUUAAAUACUAAAAGAAAUGUGUAUGUAAAACGUUUUUAAAUUUUCAGAUAGGAAAGCUCUUCCUGAGUGAUGUGAAACACAAGGCUAAAAGGAAAUGAGCAACGCAUUUUAAUACAUGAAUUAAAAACAAAAGUCUCUCCAAUACAGAACUAUCAGGAAAAUUUAAAGACGUGAAAAAAAUCUUAAAACAUGCAAUAUAAUAAUAAUAUUUUCAAUAUAAAAAGAGCUCAAAAAAGUUUAACCCAAUAGCAACAUGAGCAAGAAAUAUUGAGGUAAUUUUCAAAAGCAGUAAUAGCUACAAGUAGAUAAUAUACAUGUGCCAAAUAAUCAGCCUUCCUAGUGAUCAUGGAUUUUUCAUAUAAAUGAAAAAUAUGAUAAAGAACAAGAUAGCUUGGUGAUGGUUGUGGUAAGAGCCCACACCUAUACACAGUAGAAACAUAAAAUUUUUUAAAAAUCAGUAAUUAAUUUGGUAAAAAUUACCAAAAUUUUUGAACCACUGGACUCACCAAAUGCAGUUCUAGGUACUUAUAUUACAGAAAUAUUCUGUCCAUACCCCUGCCCAAAUAUGAAUACGAAUUUAUUUAUAGCAGCCCUAUUUAUAUAAAAGGGAAUUGUAGUCAAAUUAAUGUGCUAUUAUAGAGGAUUGGUUAAGUAAACAUUGAUCCCCUCAUAUUAUGGAAUACUAACUACACAGCAAUUAAAUUCAUUUAGGUAAAGAACAGUCACCUAAAUCCAAGCUUGUUCAUAACAUAUUGAAUGACGUUGAAUGAAAAAGCUAAUUAAGGAAUAAGAAUGAUUACACUGGGGAAAACUGAUGUCUCAUUAUUCCUAGAGAGUGGGAUUUGAUGGAAUGGAGGGUAGAAAUGAGAUCUUUAAACUCCAUUUUAACUUUUGGAACCUAGGUAUCUUUCCCUUCUUAUUUUUUUUUUUCUUAGCUAUGUGUUUAAAAUUGACUCUUUUAAAUUGUUUCCAGUAUUUCUGUUUUUCUGAAAAGAAGGGGGCUUAUCUUAGCUCAGUAUCCCAAAGUUGGUACUGGAAGAUGACUCCUGACUUUGUAUCACCAGGGACAGUAUGGAGGAACCACUUCACUGGACUCUGUUAAAAGGUGAAGAUGGAACAGACAGAAUUUGGAUAAAAAUGUUUUCCUGAUAAUAUAUAAAUAAGAAAAUUUUAAUAUGUUUCUCAUUUAAUGAAUAAAACCAUUGAUAUAGCUUUAAAUAAGAGUAAGUAACUGACUCCUGAAUGCUGAUUUUUUUCUUUACUAUAUGGUUUUUCAUAGUAGUUUAUGGAUGAAUAAAGUGUAUCCUGAUUGUUUCCUCCAGCACUAUUCUAGAUCUUGGAUCUAUGUUUCUGCACCUCUUGGUAUUAACUUAUUUUCUCUUUAGAGCAAAUAUUUUCACUAAAAAGGAUGUCUCUAACUCAAUAUCUUGCUUCAAACUUACCUUUAGCACUUCCAGCAAUUGUUGAAUAAGUUCCAGAAGAAAUUUCUCUACAUGUAUCUAUUCCAAUCAGAAGGGAUGCUCUUGGAUGAAAUUAACGCGAAGGAAGAACUUCUGGGAUGCAAGUUAGGGAAGAAAGACAUUGAGAAAAGGACUUCUGGUAAAGAAUUAGCCAAGAUCUCUUACCUGCAGGAAGUAUGAACCUACAACAAAACUCUACAAACUCAGAAGGAUCCUGCAGCAAUCCAAAAGACCAUUGUGAUGUUGCCAGACUAACCAGAUUUUUAAAAACUCAGAAGAUUAUGAACUUAAUUGCAUCUCUAGCUUAUUUACAUCUGUAGCUUUCUUGCAAAUUUUUAAAAUACGUGUUUCAGUAUCAACAAGAAAAUGAGAAAGUAUCUUCACACUUUGUGAAACUGCACUUCACAGAGGAAGAUAUAAACUGUACUUCAUAGAAGAAGAUAUCCAAACCAUCGAUAAACUUGAAAAAAAGUGAUCAACAUCGUGACUGCUCAUGGGAGGUAAAUUAAAGCCAGAAUCUCAUACCACAACACACACACCAGAACAGCUAAAACUAAAAAUAUUAAAUUAAAAAAUUUAAAAUACUGACAUUACAAUUGUUGACGGGAGUAUAAAUUAUCAAAACUUUUGAAAAGUGUUUGGUAGAUUCUAUAAAGAUAAGCAUGUAUGUACCCUGUGACAAAGCCACUCCACUACUGGGCAUAUAUCCAAUAGAAAUUAUUGCUUAGAUCCACCAAAAGAAAUGUUCAAGUAUGCUCACAGAAGCCGUAAUCAUAGUAGCCCCUACACAUGCCAAAGAAAGCAAAAGUACAUUAAUACUAAAGUGACACAUAUAUUUUGAUCUAUUCAAAUAACAUAGUACAUAACAAUGAAAACAAUGAAUUAUUGAUACACAAAACCAAUAUGGAUGAUUUCACAGACAUAGCAUUGAGUGAAAAAGCUAGAUAUAAAUAAAGUAUCUGAAGUGUAUUUUCAUUUAUAAGAAGUUCAGAAAUUGGCAAAACCAAUCCAUGGUGAUAGAGGACUCAGAGUGGUUAGACUUAUGGUGGAGUGUUCAUUAAUAGGGCUCAAAGGUAGUCUUACUUUUACCUUAAGGAGCUGUAUUUUCUACUUACUAUAAUAAUUUUGCUUCCUUUUGUUUGCUUCAUAUUUAUAGUUAUUAUUCCACCACAAUAUUAAAUACUAGAAGGGAGGUAGGCAUUGUUGUCUUUUACCUAAUUUUUAGGAAGAAUACAGGCAUAUCUUCUUUAUUGUGCUUUGUAGAUACUGCAUUUUUUACAAAUGGAAGAUUUGUGACAACCCAGCGUUGAGCAAGUCUAUCAGCACCAAUUUUCAAACUUUGUGUCUCUGUGUCACAUUUUGGUAAUUCUCACAAUAUUUCAAACUUUUUCAUUAUUAUUAUAUUUGUUAUGGUGAUUCAUGAUCAGUGAUCUUUGAUGUUACUAUUGCACAAAUGAUGACUCACUGAAGGCUCAGAUGAUGGUUAGCAUUUUUAGCAAUAAAGUAUUUUUUAAUUUAGGUAUGUGCAUCAUUUUUUUAGACAUAAAAUGUUAUUGCACACUUAAUAGACUACAGUAUAAUAUAAACAUAGAUGCACUGGGAAAGCAAAAAAUUUGUGUGACUCACUUUAUUGAAAUAUUGGCUUUAUUGCAGUGGUCUGAAACUGAACCUGCAAGAUCUCUGAGGUAUGCCUGUAUUCCAGUUUAUCAUUUCUCCUAUUUAUAAAGAAAGCUGCUUGAUAUUAUUCUCAUGUUUCUGUUUAUUUCUCAUCAGUUUGGAAUUUUUAAAGAUGAUGCAUAUAAUUUCUUUUUCUUACAAAUAUCACAUCAAAAUAUUUGAGAUGAAAGUUUAUUUUUCUCAUGUUAAAUACUGAUGAAUAGAUUGUUUUGAAUUGUUCCCAGGAGUUGGAUCAAAAAUCCAUGUUACUGGUUGCCUUAUCAAUUAUGGUAACCAACUUAGAAAAACAUUGUUCAAAAAUCUUCCAAGUGCCAUUGUAUUAAAAAAUUAAAUAUAUUUACAAAAAUCUAGAAUAAGUAAAUAAUGUAAAAAUGAAGAGGAAGAGGUAAGCUUAAAAUGGCUAUGUCAGCCUGUGUUGUUAUAUACUACGUAAUCUGACCAUAUCAGGCAUCCAAUAUAAUUUAAGGGAAGUUCUGGAAUUUUUUCCAUUCUGAUUUUAAUAACAUAUCUUUGUCCUCUGGUUUCUCUUUGCUAAGAAGGGUAUUUGAAUGGCUGAGUGCUGUUAAAAAAAAUAAGUCUUGUGUUCAUUAAGGAUGAACAUAACAUGGUGUUAUGUUAACUAACCAAAUGCACUAAGACAUAUGAAUACCUGGACUUAAAUUUGCUUACUAUUGACACGGUAAGCAAAUGCCUUCUAUGACUAAUGUUAUUCUGCCCUCUACUGGUUCAAAUUGAAAUCCCCAAUUUACAUACAUUCCAGGAAAACAACUUUAAGGUAGAAUUUUAAUGAAAUUUUCCCCUUAAAAAGAAAACAAGCAAAGGAGAUUGGUUCAAGAUGGCGGAGUAGAAGGAUGUGCACUCACCUUCUCUUGUAAGAGCACCAAAAUCACAGCUAACGGCUGAACAACCAUCAACAGGAAGAUACCCCACAUCCAAAGACAAAGGAGAAGCUGCAAUGAGACAGUAGGAGGGGCACAAUCACUAUAAAAUCAAAUCCCAUACCCGCUGGGUGGGUGACCCACAAAUUGGAGAACAAUUAUACCACAGAAGUUCUCCCACUGGAGUGAAGGUUCUGAGCCCCUCAUCAGGAUUCCCAGCUUGGGAGUCUGGCAAGGGGACUAGGAGUCCCCAGGGAAUCUGACUUUGAAGGUCAGUGGGAUUUGACUGCAGAACUUCCACAGGACUUGGGGAAACAGAGACUCCACUCUUGGAGGGUACACACAAAGUGUUGUGUGCACCAGGACCAAGGGAAAGGAGCAGUGACCCCAUAGGAGACUGAAUCAAACCUACCUGGUGUUGGAGGGUCUCCUGCAGAGGCAGCAGGCGGCUGUGGCUCAUUGCAGGGACAAGGACACUGGCAGCAGCAGUUCUGGGAAGUACCCAUUGGCAUGAGCUCUCCCAGAGGCUGCCACUAGCCCCACCAUAUAGCCUGUAGGCUCCAGUGAUGGAUCACCUCAGGCCAAAGAACUAACAGGGAGGGAAAACAGCCCCACCCAUCAGCAGACAAAUGGAUUAAAGUUUUACUGAGCACAGCCCUGCCCACCAGAGCAAGACCCAGCUAUACCCACCACCGGUCCCUCCCAUAAGGAAUCUUGCACAAGCCUCUUGGAUAGUCUCAACCACCAGAGGGCAGACAGCAGAAGCAAGAAGAACUACAAUCCUGCAACCUGCAGAACAAAAACAACAAUCACAGAAAGUUAG